UGACCUGGAUUUUCAAAAAUUAUUUUAUUAUUUUUAUUCCUGAUUUUUUUCAGAAAAUUUGGAAUAAAAUUUAAUAUGUUACUCUAGUUUGACAAUUUUUACGUAUCAGUUCAAAUUAUUUUUCGGGACAUUAGGGGUAUCAAAAUUUUAUUGUUUGUUCAAAUUAAAUGUCAUGUUAAAUAUGUGAAUUACUUGUUAUAUGAUUUAAUUGUUUAUUUGGAUGUGAUUUAUGCCUGUGUGCAUGUUUGUUACUAAUUAUUGUGUUGUUUUAGAAAUAUUUAUAAUUUUCUUAAAAAAAUAGAUUUUUGGGAAAAUGAAUUCUUGAAAAUAUGAAAGUGAUUUUAAAAAAUUCUUUUAAUUAUUUGAUAAUGAUAAUAAAUAUUUUUACGAGAUUUAUAAAAAUAUCUCGGUGAUGUUUUGAAAAUAUUUUGUGGCAAGUUAUACCGUAAAUUGUUAAAAAACGGGUUACAAUUUCAAGCACCGCCUAUGUAUAUACACAAACAACAGUUCCUCUCUGUAUAGUCUCCCUCCCUCUCCUAAGUCUCUCUCAUCUCUUUCAAUGUCUACCGACUCUGUCUCUCACUCCAACAACAGUAUUGCUCCGCUUUCCCCCGAUAGUCGCCGUCGUGUGGCCACCGCCGCCGUCCUGUUUUACGAGCCACUGUUGAAUCAUCCCGCAGCAACGCCUUCGAUUUCAAUUGAGUCGACUAAGACAUGCUUGGCAAGUACACUCAAAAGUAGUCGUAGAGUUCAGGAUAACCCGAUAAGGCGAAGUUGCUCCAAGAGAUUGUCUAUCAGAGUAUAGUCAGUACGGAAGUUCGCAGUAUUGAGGCAAGAAUAAAGAUGAUUCACUUAAGACUAGACAAGGAUUGCAAGUGGUUAAGUUUCAAGCAAAUGGUCAGGUAGAGUAUGCAGGACGAUGUCAUUAAGACUAGAUGCAGUUGGAGUUCUGCAAUUCAAUUCAGUUGGAAAUUAGAUUUGUUUAUUUGGUUAUCAGCUACUCUUCUUAUCAAGGUUUAGCUGAUAAUGUAGUUUAAUUUGUAAUAAAGAUUUAAUAGUUUUAGUUUCUGAUUUCAAUACUGUAAUCUGUAUGCGAUCCUGUUUUCAGGGGGUGAAAUUGAUUUUCAAUUUGAAUCAUUUUUUAAAAAAAAUAUCCAGGUUCUGAAAUACUUGUUUUUAUUUUCUUUCAAAAAUACUGGUUUUAAAUUAUUUUUAUUUACUCGUGGCACCAAAUCCAGACCCCCGGAUUUGAGGGCUGUCACAGUUGGUAUCAGAGCUACAGGUUAUAAGUUAUUGAAAUCAGAGUGUAGGUUGUUAUUAUUGGUUAAAUAAAGAGAACACGUGUAACCUCACAUAGAGGUAUCGUAAGACUAUUUGGGGAUAGUCCUUCUGAGCAGAAUAAAAUGAAGCUAGAGGAUUAAGUUUCAGUUUUUAUACUUAUAGACAUGACAAGUCCUAAAUCUAGUUCUUCUAGUCCCUAGUAUAUUGACCAAUUCAGAGUUAUAUCAUUCUAAGAGGGUCAAAGUUAGACCUAUCAGAAGAACCUUCAAGUUAGAAGUAGUUGAGGUCAGACCCGUAGAGAUUCUCACACAGUCUAAUGUAUCAUUUAUUGUAUAUGCCAAGUGUUGAGCAUUGAUCGGAGAGUCACUUUUUUUUUAUUCUUAUCAGAGAUAUAUGGAAUUGGUGAAAGAAUAUAGGUGUUAUCAUGUCUGAGUUUAAAGCUUUGUGUAUAGUUAAGUAGUGAGCGUUAGAGCUAUGUAGAGUUCAUGUUAGAUUACUCGACUUAGUAUCAAUGAGUGAGUUAAGACGUCAACGCUUUAUGGUGAUGAUUGUAUAAAGUUGGGUAAGGCCUCUGACCGACAACGAUAUCGAUGAUGGGAUCUUCAGAGGCUAUUAUGAGUCAACGGUAAUAUAUGAAAGUGAUCACUAAGAACGUCGAGAAGAAUUGUUAGAAUCAAAACGAGUCAUCAAAGGAAUCGAUCAAGAAGACACCUGUGAGAAUCCUGGCAAUACCUUUCUCAUUGUUGAUUAUAUUGAUUAUUUUCCUAAUCAGUGAAUUAUUUUAACAUUCCUUUCAUAAAGAUGUUCGUUGACAAGCAUAUAUCCUCCCUCUUGACUUAUAGGAGGAUGCAUGUAUUCAUUUUAUCCUUUCUGAUUAUUCUUUUCAUUGAGACUAGCACCGUUUGAACAUAUUUGAGUUUUGCCCAAAUUGUGCGUCAGAUUUUGAAUCGUCUUGAUUGGUUAAAAGACAAUAAUUAUUCAACUCAUUCUGAAUCGCUUCCAUGUAUCUGUACUCUAACUGAGAUGAACAACCCUACCUAUAGGGGACACAAGGACUCUCUGUCUGUGUGAUAGAAGUUUGAUGGGACGCCAUCACUUGUGUGUGUUGUACAUUACAAGAAGGUUAACUACCUUUAGUAGUGUCUUAAUCAAGACACACAACACUAGUUCAUUAGAUUAUAUUGAUCUCUCAGUUACUCUUUUAUUUCAAUCACGUAACAUUUGCUCUAAUAGAUAUAUUCUUUCAUAUUUUUUAUCUUCAAGAUUCUUGUAUCUCUAAUAGUUGAAGGUAUGCCAUCUGAGUUGCCAAGAUAAAUUAAGCCUUUAUAGUAGGAAGUAACAUGAACAAAAGCGGAUGAUGAUACAGAUCUAUGGAAACAAUCAAGAGAAUUUUAUAUGAGAAAGGAGUAUUAGGAAUUGAAGAUAUCAUACGCUGUGGUUUUCUUUUCGCUGAUUCCGAGGACGGAAUCCUUUUAAGGGGGGUAGAUUGUGAUGACCUGGAUUUUCAAAAAUUAUUUUAUUAUUUUUAUUCCUGAUUUUUUUCAGAAAAUUUGGAAUAAAAUUUAAUAUGUUACUCUAGUUUGACAAUUUUUACGUAUCAGUUCAAAUUAUUUUUCGGGACAUUAGGGGUAUCAAAAUUUUAUUGUUUGUUCAAAUUAAAUGUCAUGUUAAAUAUGUGAAUUACUUGUUAUAUGAUUUAAUUGUUUAUUUGGAUGUGAUUUAUGCCUGUGUGCAUGUUUGUUACUAAUUAUUGUGUUGUUUUAGAAAUAUUUAUAAUUUUCUUAAAAAAAUAGAUUUUUGGGAAAAUGAAUUCUUGAAAAUAUGAAAGUGAUUUUAAAAAAUUCUUUUAAUUAUUUGAUAAUGAUAAUAAAUAUUUUUACGAGAUUUAUAAAAAUAUCUCGGUGAUGUUUUGAAAAUAUUUUGUGGCAAGUUAUACCGUAAAUUGUUAAAAAACGGGUUACAAUUUCAAGCACCGCCUAUGUAUAUACACAAACAACAGUUCCUCUCUGUAUAGUCUCCCUCCCUCUCCUAAGUCUCUCUCAUCUCUUUCAAUGUCUACCGACUCUGUCUCUCACUCCAACAACAGUAUUGCUCCGCUUUCCCCCGAUAGUCGCCGUCGUGUGGCCACCGCCGCCGUCCUGUUUUACGAGCCACUGUUGAAUCAUCCCGCAGCAACGCCUUCGAUUUCAAUUGAGUCGACUAAGACAUGCUUGGCAAGUACACUCAAAAGUAGUCGUAGAGUUCAGGAUAACCCGAUAAGGCGAAGUUGCUCCAAGAGAUUGUCUAUCAGAGUAUAGUCAGUACGGAAGUUCGCAGUAUUGAGGCAAGAAUAAAGAUGAUUCACUUAAGACUAGACAAGGAUUGCAAGUGGUUAAGUUUCAAGCAAAUGGUCAGGUAGAGUAUGCAGGACGAUGUCAUUAAGACUAGAUGCAGUUGGAGUUCUGCAAUUCAAUUCAGUUGGAAAUUAGAUUUGUUUAUUUGGUUAUCAGCUACUCUUCUUAUCAAGGUUUAGCUGAUAAUGUAGUUUAAUUUGUAAUAAAGAUUUAAUAGUUUUAGUUUCUGAUUUCAAUACUGUAAUCUGUAUGCGAUCCUGUUUUCAGGGGGUGAAAUUGAUUUUCAAUUUGAAUCAUUUUUUAAAAAAAAUAUCCAGGUUCUGAAA